rnacentral:lncRNA from 1 species
AUUUUCCCAAAGGGAGCCGACAGGGCCAAAAGGCCUGGUUCAGUCCCCUGACCCUGGUGAUAAUCCAGGGAAAGGGAUCAGGAAAAUGGGCCUGGCAGGGACAGGGAUGACAGGAGGGCCGAAGAAAGGCAGAGCGUGAAGGGCCCGAGGAACGGUGUUGGUGGGGUGGGGACCAGGACCCCAGCAAGGAGCCCAGGCUAGGGACCUAGAGGGGCGCCCCGGCCAGGGAAGAGCUGGGAAGGGUGGGGCCAGGCAGCAGGGUGGCACCAGCGUUCUGCAGUGCAGAGAAGCCAAGGGGAGCAGGAAGCGGCCCAAGCGAGGUGCCCACAGUCCAAGCCCAGGGAUGCCCAGAGCAAGAAGGGCCACCAGAGGCUCAAGCGAGAAGCCAGGCCAGGGAAUGGAGAGCCAAGGGCCAGGGCUGUUCCAGGGGGUUUAGGACAAUGGA